UACGAAGGGGGCUAGCGUUGCUCGGAAUCACUGGGCGUAAAGCGCACGUAGGUGGCUUUUUAAGUCAGGGGUGAAAUCCUGGAGCUCAACUCCAGAACUGCCUUUGAUACUGAGAAGCUUGAGUCCGGGAGAGGUGAGUGGAACUGCGAGUGUAGAGGUGAAAUUCGUAGAUAUUCGCAAGAACACCAGUGGCGAAGGCGGCUCACUGGCCCGGUACUGACGCUGAGGUGCGAAAGCGUGGGGAGCAAACAGG
rnacentral:rRNA from 1 species